CAAACGUGUGUUUUUACCGAAGGGUUUUAAAACCCUAGCCUCCCUCUCUCGUUGCUUCUCUUCCCUUUCAAGGGCGCUUGAUUUGCCUCUACCCAAGCAGUCGAGCAGCAACAGCAUAACAACAAUGGGUAUUGAUUUGAAGGCCGGUGGAAAGAGUAAGAAGACUA